ensembl:lncRNA
CCAGAAGCAGUUUUCAUUCAAAUAUUUCUCCACUUAUUUUUAACCCCCGGGAGCCCUCUAGUGUCCUGUUUAGAAACAGACUCUUGGAAUUCAAAGGCAUUUGAGAGGGUUUGCUUAGCAGCAGUAGAAUAAAGGCCUCCUGAGAUGAAUGCCAUCACCCCAGAGGCCUGGGAUUAGAGCAUCGGAGUUCCCAGGGACUCACCUUUUCAUCCUGGCUGUGGCCAGAGUCACAUUGAUCUCCCACCUCUUCUGAGAAGUGGCCUAGAAAUUCAUAAAAAGGAAAUCUUUAGUGAAGAAGGCAUCAUUUUGCAGUUCCCUGGGGGAUGAAAACAACCUUGAUUGAGGUCAUCACCAGCUCAAAGAUCCCAUUGCUUGGGAGGACAUUGUUCCAGGAAUUCCCUCCUUCUUUACCCUGGUCAUCCACCUCCAAGACAGCCCCUGAUGAACCUCAGCUCUUGGUACCCACACUGUGAAGCAGUCCCCUCACACGGAGUCAGGGCUGAAGUAUGUGAUCAACAGAAUUCUGCGGAUGCCCCGGUGUGUGACCUCAAACGCUAGGUCAUAGAAGACAGUGGGGCUUCCACCCUCUUGGAGUUCUCACCCUGGGCAAGCC